GAUCCUGGCUCAGGACGAACGCUGGCGGCGCGCCUAACACAUGCAAGUCGAACGAGCGAGAGGAGGUUUACUUUCUCAAGCGAGUGGCGAACGGGUGAGUAACGCGUGAGGAACCUGCCUCAAAGGAGGGGGACAACAGUUGGAAACGACUGCUAAUACCGCAUAAGCCCACGACCCGGCAUCGGGUAGAGGGAAAAGGAGCAAUCCGCUUUGAGAUGGCCUCGCGUCCGAUUAGCUAGUUGGUGAGGUAAUCGG
rnacentral:rRNA from 1 species